CCCUUAGAUGUCCUGGGCCGCACGCGCGCUACACUGACGGAGCCAGCGAGCGUGUCCUUCGCCGAAAGGUGCGGGUAAUCUUGGCAGCCUCCGUCGUGCUGGGGAUAGAUGGUUGCAAUUAUUGAUCUUGAACGAGGAAUUCCUAGUAAGCGCGAGUCACCAGCUCGCGUUGAUUACGUCCCUGCCCUUUGUACACACCGCCCGUCGCUCCUACCGAUUGAAUGUUCCGGUGAGCUCUUCGGACUGCGCGGUCUGCAGUUUCUGCGUUCCGUGCGGAAAGUUGCGCAAACCUUAACAUUUAGAGGAAGGAGAAGUCGUAACA
rnacentral:rRNA from 1 species